AAUGUACUCUCUCUGUCCGGAAAUACUUGUCGAAAAAAUGGAUGUAUUUAGAUGUAUUUUAGUUCUAGAUACAUCCAAUUUUAUCUAUUUGUACGACAAGUAUUUCCGGACGGAGGGAGUAUGUA
rnacentral:pre_miRNA from 1 species